AGUCACUGCAGUUGUUGGAGCUUUGUGUAAAAGGGAAGGAAGAACAGACAGGCUGUACUCAGAAGGAGAAGCAGAGCGACAGUGUCCGUGCUGGAUGUGAAGAUGGGGCACACUUUGCUCUGUGUGCUGGGGUUAUUCUUGCUGAAUACACUCCUCUACGGACACGCUGAAG